ensembl:lncRNA DRAIC downregulated RNA in cancer, inhibitor of cell invasion and migration
CCCGGCUCUGGCAGAGAAACCUGGGUUUCGACUUGUGAAGCUUGAGGUUGGAUGUGGGAAUUGGCUUGGAGUCAUAGGCGAUGAGAGGGACAUUAGGAUAUUAUGAAGCCCGUGAACUCAACUCCUGAGAAGGACGCAGCAGAGCGAGAGAAAAGAUGGAAUAAAAAGGCCUACCUCAUUGGGCUCGUGUGGGUGAGGAGAACUGAAGAGUCUGAGAGCGCGGCACGAGCCAGAGGCUACGGAAAACACUGCCCUCCUACACUCCACCUUGGAGAGACCCAGAAAAGAACAAGCUUCAUUUGUAAAAAAGGAAAACAACUCAGGCAAUGGGGGUGGCUUAAAGGCACUCUACAGUGUGCAGAUGCCUUCCACUUCUUCCAUCUGCCCUGUCUCUCCAAGAACCCCUAUGGCCCCGGUCUCAGAACAGAGCUGAGUGCAGAAAUGAAAAUCUAUGGCUCUGUGUUCCAAAACGAUGAAGAAUUUCAAGAUGGUGGCAGUGGUAAAAUCUUUCUCCAGGAAAAAUCUGUCCUUGGCCCAAUGUGUAAACACUUGCUGAGGAACUUGGAAUAACUUGCAGUGUCUUGCAGUAUUGUGAAACCAGCAACUUGUUCACAAUUCUUCUGAAUUUCUUGGGAAAUUUGAAGUGGAGUACCUGUACCAACAUGAAAUGACACGAAUUUAAGUGACGCUCAACAACGAAAAGCAAAAAGAACCAAAGAGGAAGCAACUGAAACAACAUCUGGAUGUAUUUAAAAAUAUACAAUGCCUCCAAAAUCAGGUGUCAUUAAUGAAAAUUCUGAAGAAAUGCCACCGGACAUAGCCAACGCACCUACGCUGUUGUUAUUCAUUUCCUGCUUUUCACAGAAAACAAUUUUGUUGCAUGGAAGAUCGGACAAGGCUGUUCUCUGAAGUUCCCUCAUCCACCUAGAAACCAGAUGGCCGAAGAGGAACACAAUUGCCUUCCAUCCCCUUCCUGAAAUUUCAUUAUCUAGAGGAUUAAAACCCAUAUCACAGAGGAAGAGAUUGAAAAUUAAACAUCACACCUACAACCCAUACUUCGGAGCACUGACCCAAAUUGUCUAUUUUUAAGUCCCAUUCCAUUUCCAAAGAUAAUUAUUUACUAACCAUUGUCUGGAGCAUUGGGCCCAUUCAUUCCUCUUAAAAAUCAUUUGCUGGGCCAGGAGUGGUGGCUUACGCCUGUAAUCCCAGCACUGGGAGGCCGAAGCGGGAGGAUCACGAGGUCAAGAGAUCGAGACCAUCCUGGCCAACAUGGUGAAACCCUGUCUCUACUAAAAAUACAAAAAUUAGCUGGGUGUAGUGGCACAUGCCUGUAGUCUCAGCUACUCGGGAGACUGAGGCAGGAGAAUUGCUUGAACCCAGGAGGUGGAGGUUGCAGUGAGCCGAGAUCAUGCCACUGCACUCCAGCCUGGCGAAAGAGUGAGAUUCCGUCUCAAAAAAAAAAAAAAAUUAUUUUCUACCCCUCAAAACAGCCACUUUCUCCUCCAUCUCCUCUUCCCUGAUGAAGAAAGGCGUAUGAGCAUCUGGACCUCAUUGGGUUUAGGUCAUCAUGUUCUUGCAAUUCCUGUGUGCUUAUGCACAUUAAAUGAAUUUGUAUGCCUUUUCCUCUUAUUAAUCUGCCUAUUGUAAAUUCAUUUUCAGUGAACUUCAAAGGGCAGAGGGGAAACUGUCCCUUGGCCUCUACCCCUCCAAGGCCCCACUUUUUUGUCAACACUCCUUGGACGCAGCAGAAGUAUGAACAUAAUAUGGUCCUGAAUGAGGCUGAGUCUUUGGGCGCAGAAGACCCGGGUUAAUAAAAAUAGGAAGGUAAGAAAAGAAAAGAAAAAUCAAGACACAUCAUAGGACUAAAUUCCUAUUAUUUAUCCACUCAGGAUUGACCACCCCUUUGGGCCAGAUAGUUGUACCCCCAUGUACCAGGUGGGCACAUGAAGACACAAGAAGUGCUGUGAUGGUUCAUUUUGCACGUCACCUUGCGUGGAGUAUGCCAACUCAUUGUUUGGUCAAACACUAGUCUGGACAUGGUGGUAAAGGUAUUUUUUAGAUGAGAUUAACACUUAAAUCAGUAAAGCAGGUUACCCACCAUACUACGGGUGGGCCCUGUCCAAUCAGUUGAAGGCAUUAAGAACAAAGAUUGAGGUUUCCUAAAGAAGAUGGAAUUCUCCUUGAGACUACAACAUAGAAACCCUAUCUGAGUUUCCAGCCUGUUGCCCUGUGGAAUUCAAACUCAGGACUCCGGUCUAUGACAUUAACCCUCACUUAACUUUUCAGCCUGCCAGCCUGCCCUAUGGAUUUCGGACUUGCCAGCCACACAAUUCCUUAAAAUAAAUCUCUCCGUCUC